AGUGAACGCUGGCGGUAGGCCUAACACAUGCAAGUCGAACGGCAGCACAGUAAGAGCUUGCUCUUACGGGUGGCGAGUGGCGGACGGGUGAGGAAUACAUCGGAAUCUACUUUUUCGUGGGGGAUAACGUAGGGAAACUUACGCUAAUACCGCAUACGACCUACGGGUGGAAGCAGGGGAUCUUCGGACCUUGCGCGAUUGAAUUAGCCGAUGUCGGAUUAGCUAGUUGGCGGGGUAAAGGCCCACCAUGGCGACGAUCCGUAGCUGGUCUGAGAGGAUGAUCAGCCACACUGGAACGGAGACACGGUCCAGACCCCUACGGGAGGCAGCAGUGGGAAAUAUUGGACAAUGGGCGAAAGCCUGAUCCAGCCAUCCCGCGUGGGUGAAGAAGGCCUUCGGGUUGUAAAGCCCUUUUGUUGGGAAAGAAAAGCAGCAGGUUAAUACCCCGCUGUUCUGACGGUACCCAAAGAAUAAGCACCGGCUAACUUCGU
rnacentral:rRNA from 1 species